rnacentral:rRNA from 1 species
AUUGAACGCUGGCGGCAGGCCUAACACAUGCAAGUCGAGCGGUUGAGGUAGCUUGCUACCGAUGCAGCGGCGAACGGGUGAGUAAUACAUGGGAAUCUGCCGGGUAGUGGGGGACAACGUCUCGAAAGGGACGCUAAUACCGCAUACGCCCUACGGGGGAAAGGGGGGGGUCUUCGGACCUCUCGCUAUCAGAUGAGCCCAUGUCAGAUUAGCUAGUUGGUGGGGUAAAGGCUCACCAAGGCGACGAUCUGUAACUGGUCUGAGAGGAUGAGCAGUCACACUGGAACCGAGACACGGUCCAGACUCCUACGGGAGGCAGAAGUGGGGAAUAUAGGACAAUGGGCGCAAGCCUGAUCCAGCCAUGCCGCGUGUGUGAAGAAGGCCUUAGGGUUGUAAAGCACUUUCAGUGGGGAGAAAGGUAAUUCACCUAAUACGUGAGUUAAUUGAUGUUACCCACAGAAGAAGCACCGGCUAACUCCGUGCCAGCCGCCGCCGUAA